rnacentral:rRNA from 1 species
GAUGAACGCUGGCGGCGUGCCUAAUACAUGCAAGUCGAACGCACAGCGAAAGGUGCUUGCACCUUUCAAGUGAGUGGCGAACGGGUGAGUAACACGUGGACAACCUGCCUCAAGGCUGGGGAUAACAUUUGGAAACAGAUGCUAAUACCGAAUAAAACUUAGUGUCGCAUGACACAAAGUUAAAAGGCGCUUUGGCGUCACCUAGAGAUGGAUCCGCGGUGCAUUAGUUAGUUGGUGGGGUAAAGGCCUACCAAGACAAUGAUGCAUAGCCGAGUUGAGAGACUGAUCGGCCACAUUGGGACUGAGACACGGCCCAAACUCCUACGGGAGGCUGCAGUAGGGAAUCUUCCACAAUGGGCGAAAGCCUGAUGGAGCAACGCCGCGUGUGUGAUGAAGGCUUUCGGGUCGUUAAGCACUGUUGUAUGGGAAGAACAGCUAGAAUAGGGAAUGAUUUUAGUUUGACGGUACCAUACCAGAAAGGGACGGCUAAAUACGUGCCAGCCGCCGCAGUAA